GGCCAUGGAGGGGGGUCUUUCUAGCGGAGGCUAUCUCAGUGUCCUUUAGAGAGUGUGUUAGAAAGAAUCCCCUCCAAGCCCCAUUAGAGACUACAAUGGAGUCUAAAAGGCUUGGAAGGGGGUCUUUCCAACAGAGGCCAUCUCAGCGUCCAUUAGAUAUCCCCUGCUGGAAACAGUCGCCUCCAGGCCCCAGUAGAAACUACAAUUGAGGGCUAAUGGGCCAUGGAGGGGAUUUCUAGCAGAGGCUAGAGUCUAAUGGGGCCUGGAGGGUGGUCUCUCCAACACUCUGGUUCCUAUUCACAAUAUAACAACACAACAUAGCUCGCUGAUACCUAAGCCAAGUUGGCUCCUCUUACCUUAAUUACUGUUGCUGGCUGGCAGUCUGUG